rnacentral:rRNA from 1 species
GGUAGGAUAGAGGCCUACCAUGGUGGUAACGGGUAACGGGGUGUUAGGGCACGACACCGGAGAGGGAGUCUGAGAAACGGCUACCACAUCCAAGGAUGGCAGCAGGCGCGCAAAUUACCCAAUCCCGACACGGGGAGGUAGUGACAAUAAAUAAUAAUACGGGGUCCUUUCGGAUUUCGUAAUUGGAAUGAGUACAAUUUAAAUCUCUUAACGAGGAACAAUUGGAGGGCAAGUCUGGUGCCAGCAGCCGCGGUAAUUCCAGCUCCAAUAGCGUAUAUUAAAGUUGUUGCAGUUAAAAAGCUCGUAGUUGAAUUUCGGGAUCAAUAUGUCGGUCGUGCCUCGGUACGUACCGGCGUCAUUGGUUUCUCCCUUCUGAAGAACCUCGAUGUCAUUAAUUUGGUGUCGUGGGGAAUCAGGACUGUUACUUUGAAAAAAUUAGAGUGUUUAAAGCAGGCUAACGUCUGAAUACAUUAGCAUGGAAUAAUAGAAUAGGACGGAUUGGUUCUAUUUUGUUGGUUUCUAGGAUCACCGUAAUGAUUAAUAGGGAUAGUUGGGGGCAUUAGUAUUCAAUUGUCAGAGGUGAAAUUCUUGGAUUUAUUGAAGACUAACUACUGCGAAAGCAUUUGCCAAGGAUGUUUUCAUUAAUCAAGAACGAAAGUUAGGGGAUCGAAGACGAUCAGAUACCGUCGUAGUCUUAACCAUAAACUAUGCCGACUAGGGAUCGGACGAAGUUAAUUUUUAAAUGACUCGUUCGGCACCUUACGGGAAACC